CUUGUGUGUGUUUGUGUCGCCCUCUUGUGGUCAGACUUGUUUUUCUUCACUUCUGUUUCUGCGGAAGAGAAAGUGAAACUGAAGAGACUCGGUGGCGGCGCAGUGUUUUUCAGGCUGAUCGCGUCAUGACUUCAGACGAGGAUUUUUCUUUGGUUUUGGAGCCGUCGGAGGAAACAGUGGAAGGAGUCAAACGUCUGAUCCAGAAUGAGAAGGU